rnacentral:snRNA from 1 species
AUACUUGCCUGGGAGAGAGAUAACCGUGAUCACCAGGGCGUUUUUUUCCAGGACGAGGCUUCUCUGUGGCACUCUGCCUGUGCCGCCCCCUAGAUUCUCCCCAAAUGUGGGAAACUCAGAGGCAUGACUGUGGUAGUGAGACACUGCGUUUGCAUUUUUCCC